rnacentral:pre_miRNA from 1 species
AGUGGGAUAACUGGGUCAAAUGGUGAUUUCAUUCCAAGUUUUCUAAGGAAUCUCCAUACUGUUUUCCAAAGGGGUUGUAUUAAUUUGUAGUCCCACCAGCAAU